AGCGAACGCUGGCGGCAGGCCUAACACAUGCAAGUCGAGCGCCGUAGCAAUACGGAGCGGCAGACGGGAGAGUAACACGUGGGAACGUACCCUUUGGUUCGGAACAACCCCGGGAAACUUGGGCUAAUACCGGAUAAGCCCUCACGGGGAAAGAUUCAUCGCCGAAGGAUCGGCCGCGUCUGAUGAGCUAGUUGGUGGGGUAAUGGCCCACCAAGGCGACGAUCAGUAGCUGGUCUGAGAGGAUGAUCAGCCUCACUGGGACUGAGACACGGCCCAGACUCCUACGGGAGGCAGCAGUGGGGAAUAUUGGACAAUGGGCGCAAGCCUGAUCCAGCCAUGCCGCGUGGGUGAUGAAGGCCCUAGGGUUGUAAAGCCCUUUCGGCGGGGAAGAUAAUGACGGUACCCGCAGAAGAAGCCCCGGCUAACUUCGUGCCAGCCGCCGCCGUAACAC
rnacentral:rRNA from 1 species